CAACCCUCAGGUCCCCCUUUUCGGAGGGGGAGACACCCUGGUGUUGGGGGACGGCAUCCUGGCCCGCUGUCUCAGCGUGCCACGCCGCCCCCGAAAUGAAUUGGCGGCCUCGUCGCGUGCCACCCCUGCGUAGUAGCACAACCUCGCAACGGGAGCCCGACGCGGCCACUGCCGUAAAACGCCCAACUUUUACAGAG
rnacentral:misc_RNA from 1 species